GCCACGGUGGUCUAGCGGUUAGAACGCUGGCCUUGUAAUCCUGGAGGUCUCGGGUUCGAUUCCCGGCGGUGCCC
rfam:Zootermopsis nevadensis contig7579, whole genome shotgun sequence.